GGGGGCGUUAGCUCUAUGGCAGAGCAUUUGCCUUCCAUGCAGAAGGUUCCCAGGUUCAAUCCCUGGCAACUCCA